AACGAACGCUGGCGGCAGGCCUAACACAUGCAAGUCGAACGCUGUAGCAAUACAGAGUGGCAGACGGGUGAGGAACACGUGGGAACAUACCCUUUGGUUCGGAAUAACUCAGGGAAACUUGAGCUAAUACCGGAUAAGUCGGCAACGAGAAAGAUUCAUCGCCGAAGGAUUGGCCCGCGUCCGAUUAGCUAGUUGGUGUGGUAAUGGCGCACCAAGGCGACGAUCGGUAGCUGGUCUGAGAGGAUGAUCAGCCACAUUGGGACUGAGACACGGCCCAAACUCCUACGGGAGGCAGCAGUGGGGAAUAUUGGACAAUGGGCGCAAGCCUGAUCCAGCCAUGCCGCGUGAGUGAUGACGGCCCUAGGGUUGUAAAGCUCUUUCACCC
rnacentral:rRNA from 1 species